rnacentral:rRNA from 1 species
CAAGUCGAGCGAGAAAGGCCUUCGGGCUGAGUACAGCGGCGGACGGGUGAGUAACGCGUAGGAAUCUACCUGGUAGUGGGGGACAACAUGGGGAAACUCAUGCUAAUACCGCAUACGCCCUAUGGGGGAAAGCGGGGGACCUUCGGGCCUCGCGCUAUCAGAUGAGCCUGCGUAGGAUUAGCUUGUUGGUGAGGUAAAGGCUCACCAAGGCGACGAUCCUUAGCUGGUCUGAGAGGAUGAUCAGCCACACUGGAACUGAGACACGGUCCAGACUCCUACGGGAGGCAGCAGUGGGGAAUAUUGCGCAAUGGGCGAAAGCCUGACGCAGCCAUGCCGCGUGUGUGAAGAAGGCCUUCGGGUUGUAAAGCACUUUCAAUUGGGAAGAAAGGUUGCGUGUUAAUAGCACGUAGCUGUGACGUUACCUUUAGAAGAAGCACCGGCUAACUCCGUGCCAGCAGCCGCGGUAAUACGGAGGGUGCGAGCGUUAAUCGGAAUUACUGGGCGUAAAGCGCGCGUAGGCGGUUUGUUAAGUCGGAUGUGAAAGCCCCGGGCUCAACCUGGGAAUUGCAUUCGAUACUGGCCGACUAGAGUACGAGAGAGGGAGGUAGAAUUCCACGUGUAGCGGUGAAAUGCGUAGAUAUGUGGAGGAAUACCGGUGGCGAAGGCGGCCUCCUGGCUCGAUACUGACGCUGAGGUGCGAAAGCGUGGGUAGCAAACAGGAUUAGAUACCCUGGUAGUCCACGCCGUAAACGAUGUCUACUAGCCGUUGGGAGACUUGAUUUCUUAGUGGCGCAGCUAACGCACUAAGUAG